AGAGUUUGAUCAUGGCUCAGAACGUACGCUGGCGGCACGCCUAACACAUGCAAGUCGAACGAAGUAGCAAUACUUAGUGGCAGACGGGUGAGUAACAUGUGGGUAUCUGCCCUUUGGCCUGGAAUAACACGAGGAAACUUGUGCUAAUACUGGAUAAGUCUUUACGGAGAAAGCUUUAUGCACCAUUGGAUGAGCCCGCACUUGAUUAGUUUGUUGGUGGGGUAAUGGCCUACCAAGACUUUGAUCAAUAGCUGAUUUGAGAGGAUGAUCAGCCACAUUGGGACUGAGACACGGCCCAAACUCCUACGGGAGGCAGCAGUGGGGAAUCUUGCACAAUGGAGGAAACUCUGAUGCAGCGAUGCCGCGUGAGUGAAGAAGGCCCUUGGGUUGUAAAGCUCUUUCGUCGGGGAAGAAAAUGACUGUACCCGAAUAAGAAGGUCCGGCUAACUUCGUGCCAGCAGCCGCGGUAAUACGAAGGGACCUAGCGUAGUUCGGAAUUACUGGGCUUAAAGAGUUCGUAGGUGGUUGAAAAAGUUGGUGGUGAAAUCCCAGAGCUUAACUCUGGAACUGCCAUCAAAACUUUUCAGCUAGAGUUUGAUAGAGGAAAGCAGAAUUUCUAGUGUAGAGGUGAAAUUCGUAGAUAUUAGAAAGAAUACCAAUUGCGAAGGCAGCUUUCUGGAUCAUUACUGACGCUGAGGAACGAAAGCAUGGGUAGCGAAGAGGAUUAGAUACCCUCGUAGUCCAUGCCGUAAACGAUGUGUGCUAGACGUUGGAAAUUUAUUUUCAGUGUCGCAGCGAAAGCGAUAAACACACCGCCUGGGGAGUACGACCGCAAGGUUAAAACUCAAAUGAAUUGACGGGGACCCGCACAAGUAGUGGAGCAUGUGGUUUAAUUCGAAGAUACGCGCAGAACCUUACCAACACUUGACAUGUUCGUCGCGACUUUAAGAGAUUAAAGUUUUCGGUUCGGCCGGACGAAACACAGGUGCUGCAUGGCUGUCGUCAGCUCGUGUCGUGAGAUGUUGGGUUAAGUCCCGCAACGAGCGCAACCCUCACUUUUAGUUGCCAUCAUUAAGUUGGGCACUCUGAAAGAACUGCCAGUGAUAAGCUGGAGGAAGGUGGGGAUGACGUCAAGUCCUCAUGGCCCUUACGUGUUGGGCUACACACGUGCUACAAUGGUAUCUACAACAGGAAGCGAAACAGCGAUGUUAAGCAAAUCCUUAAAAGAUACCUCAGUUCGGAUUGCACUCUGCAACUCGAGUGCAUGAAGCUGGAAUUACUAGUAAUCGUGGAUCAGCGUGCCACGGUGAAUGCGUUCCCGGGUCUUGUACACACCGCCCGUCACACCAUGGGAGUUGGUUCUACCUUAAGGCAAGGUUUAAUACCCUUGACCACGGUAUAGUCAGCGACUGGGGUGAAGUCGUAACAAGGUAACCGUA
rnacentral:rRNA from 1 species